rnacentral:lncRNA from 1 species
AUUUGAUGAGUUUAUACGUUGAAAUUAAAAGCAAUUUCAAACUCAUAAAACUCACCUCACAACUGGGUGACACAGAAACACACACUCUCUCAAUCUAUUUCUCACUCCAUCUCUCUCUCUCUCUUAGCCGCAACGCAAUGCAUAGGCAAUCUCUGGGUUCAUCAUCAUCGAAGCUCCACAACCAUGGAGUAAUCAAUGAAAAAGAAGAAAAAGAAGAAGAAGAAACCGUAAAACUCACCGACUCUUUUUGCCACCACAACUUCCUCCACCUCAUCCCAAUCCUCACUCUUCUCUGCUUCUUCCUUCUCUACCUCUUCUCUCACCCUCUCUCUCCUUCAGACCUGGAUCAAUUCACUCACUCCAGCCAUCAUCGUAACCUUUUAGGAGAUUAGAGAAAUUGAUCAACAUUACAUGGAUGGAAAAAGAGGCGAUGUUUUGAUUCUCCGAAACCUUCACAGAAAACUCGCCGAUU